UACGGAGGAUGCAAGCGUUAUCCGGAAUGAUUGGGCGUAAAGCGUCCGCAGGUGGCAAUGUAAGUCUGCUGUUAAAGAGUCUAGCUCAACUAGAUAAAAGCAGUGGAAACUACAUAGCUAGAGUACGUUCGGGGCAGAGGGAAUUCCUGGUGUAGCGGUGAAAUGCGUAGAUAUCAGGAAGAACACCGGUGGCGAAAGCGCUCUGCUAGGCCGCAACUGACACUGAGGGACGAAAGCUAGGGGAGCGAAUGGG
rnacentral:rRNA from 1 species